AUAAGGGGUUGUUUGGUGGGUGAAAUUCACGCUGCUGUUCGAUCUGAUGGGAAUUCGUUGAUGGGUUUUAUACUUGUCUAAAUGGGUCACUGUGUUUUCAGCUUUUGGAUGAUGUGGUGUUCUUGAGCAGGUUAUUGGCGUGGGAUGAGUUUGAGGGUUUGAAAGGCUUGUUUGGUUGGUUAUGUUUUUUGUUUGGAUGAUUUCUGUGGGGAGUAGUGAUGGAAGAAAGGGGUUAAGUUUAGAGUUUGGUGUUGGAAGAGAAAUGGAGGAGACUGAGCAGGAAGAAGGAAAGGCUUGCUUUUAUCAAAAUGAUGAGAAUUCAACUCUUGACCUUGUUUGUUAGUGUGUGUGUGUGU
rnacentral:lncRNA from 1 species